rnacentral:rRNA from 1 species
CCUACGGGUGGCAGCAGUGAGGCAUAUUGGUCAAUGGGCUAAGGCCUGAACCAGCCAAGUCGCGUGAGGGCAGACGGUCCUAUGGAUUGUAAACCUCUUUUGUCGGGGAGCAACGAGGCCACGUGUGGCCGAUUUGAGAGUACCCGAAGAAAAAGCAUCGGCUAACUCCGUGCCAGCAGCCGCGGUAAUACGGAGGAUGCGAGCUUUAUCCGGAUUUAUUGGGUUUAAAGGGUGCGUAUGCGGAACAUUAAGUCCGCGUGAAAAUCUAGGGGUUCAACCCCUUUAAUCCGUUGAAACUGGGGAUCUUGAGUGGGCGAGAGGUAUGCGGAAUGCGUGGUGUAGCGGUGAAAUGCAUAGAUAUCACGCAGAACUCCGAUUGCGAAGGCAGCAUACCGGCGCCCGACUGACGCUGAGGCACGAAAGCGUGGGGAUCGAACAGGAUUAGAUACCCGGGUAGUC